UAAUGCCUAGGAAUCUGCCUGGUAGUGGGGGACAACGUUUCGAAAGGAACGCUAAUACCGCAUACGUCCUACGGGAGAAAGCAGAGGACCUUCGGGCCUUGCGCUAUCAGAUGAGCCUAGGUCGGAUUAGCUAGUUGGUGAGGUAAUGGCUCACCAAGGCGACGAUCCGUAACUGGUCUGAGAGGAUGAUCAGUCACACUGGAACUGAGACACGGUCCAGACUCCUACGGGAGGCAGCAGGC
rnacentral:rRNA from 1 species